CAUGGUUCCACGCGUACAUGAUGUCUCUGUCAAACGAUGUGAUUGCUCGGUGUGAAAUGAAUAUUUAUUGACGUGAAUAUCGCCGAUUACGACAAUCUGACAAUCCAAGUCUGAAAUGUUUUGCUGUGUUUAUGAAUUAUAAAUCUUAUAAAUCGUCAUGUCUGCUAUCAAGGAUUAAGGAUAAUAGAAACUUGACAAAUGAAGAAAUAAAGUUCUAAUAAAUAUGGAUGGAGAGAUUUAUUGAGCAGAUAAUUCAUUAGGUAUCAAGAGAAAAAGAAAUUUUUUAUGGAAAAUUUCUAGAAACUUCGUGAAGCAAUGGCAUUGUUUUAAAGAUUCUUCGAUAAUUCAUUAAUCGAUUUCUAAUUAUACUUUUUGGAUUUCAUUCAACUGUAAAUGUUUUCAAGUUUAUAAGGUCAUGUUGAAAGGAGGACUCGAUGGAAUUUAUUGGCUUUUAUUGGAAUAUGGCUAAAAUGAAGGUCUUUCAGUCGGUUUUAGAAAUUUCUAGUUAGUCAUAUUUCCAAUUUAAUAGAGUUAAUGCUUAUCGAUUUCCUUCGAAAACUCGGUGUCUUUAACAUUGAAACUUCGUUAUUUUAUUGAGACAACGUCGAGGAAACGCGAUUAUGAGUUUCAAAUGAAAGUUUCAACGCCGUCCAAAUGCAAGAAUCGAGGACAAUCUACAGCGAUGUCGACCCACUUGCAACUAAAAUUUAUUACUCCCAUCCGAACCCUAUCAUCUUCGAUGUGGUGAAAAUAGCUUUUCUUCUUUCUCAUGAUGCUCAUUUCCGCUUGCAUGAACGAUGUCGGUUAUUUUCCAUCUUCGCACUUCGUUCCAACAUUCAUCUCAUUUCUUCCCGUUUUUAUUCUCACGAUUGCAGUAUCGACUGAAAAGAAAUACCGAGUAAAAAAAGUUGCUAUGACAUUUUAAUUGAUUUUGAUUAAUAAAAAACUUUUUAGAAAAAAACUUAUUCAUCAUUAAAUGAAGCUUAAUUUUACACUUAACUUUUAACUUCAGAAGAACCAUUUUACAAAAAGAAAUUAUAUUUCUCACACUCUACUUAGAGUAUCAAAUCGAUAGAAAAUUAAUAUUCUCUGCUCUGCGAUAAAAUUAACGCGAAAAGAAUUAUAUUUCUCCAUCAAAUGUUUUUGUCGCUGAAGAAAAAAAAAAAAAAAAAGAAUGUAUUCCGCAUGGUUUGUUAUGCAAACGAGCAGAAGCUGUGCAGGGUCGGCUCGAAUUGGAAUCUCCCUUGCGAAUCAGUCUGAAAACACUUGGCCGAACAGAACGAACGAACUGUCAAGCGAAGCACGUAUGUUCCCUAAUUACACGCACGGGACGCGUGCGUACACCAUUUCGAACAAGUCCGAAGCCCUUGGUACAUCGGUUCGUUACGCACCGGAUCGGACUACAAUUUACGUAGUCGUUUACCGUGCCCCGGCACGCUUGUACGCGUUAAUCGUGACUUAUUUCGAUUCUUCGAUUGUAACCGCGUUAACGCUUGCAAAUCUGUUUCCAUUUUACUCCUAUUCUCUUACCGCGUGUUCGAUCCGAAGGGAGAAAGCGAAAUCAGAGAGGAUUAAAUUCGAGCGUAAUUAUUAGAUUGAUGAGAAUUUCGUUUUUUACAUCGUAAAUAUAGCAGAGGUUUCUUUUUUUUUCAUUUUUGGAGAAAUUUAAACGUACAAUUUGUAGAUAAUAAAUUAAUAAUAAAUUAAAAACGAAGAAAUGGUUUAUUAAAAUUUAGAUUAAUUUUUGAA